AUUGAACGCUGGCGGCAGGCCUAACACAUGCAAGUCGAGCGGAUGAAGGGAGCUUGCUCCCUGAUUUAGCGGCGGACGGGUGAGUAACGCGUAGGAAUCUAUCCUGUAGUGGGGGAUAACGUUUCGAAAGGAACGCUAAUACCGCAUACGCCCCAAGGGGGAAAGCGGGGGAUCUUCGGACCUCGUGCUAUAGGAGGAGCCUGCGUCGGAUUAGCUAGUUGGGGAGGUAAAGGCUCACCAAGGCGACGAUCCGUAGCUGGUCUGAGAGGAUGAUCAGCCACACCGGAACUGAGACACGGUCCGGACUCCUACGGGAGGCAGCAGUGGGGAAUAUUGCGCAAUGGGCGAAAGCCUGACGCAGCCAUACCGCGUGUGUGAAGAAGGCCUUCGGGUUGUAAAGCACUUUCAGUGGGGAGGAAAAGCUGGUGGCUAAUAUCCAUCGGCCGUGACGCUACCCACAGAAGAAGCACCGGCUAAUUCCGUGCCAGCCGCCGCGGUAAUAC
rnacentral:rRNA from 1 species